rnacentral:rRNA from 1 species
AUUGAACGCUGGCGGCAUGCCUUACACAUGCAAGUCGAACGGCAGCACGGGAGCAAUCCUGGUGGCGAGUGGCGAACGGGUGAGUAAUAUAUCGGAACGUGCCCGGUCGUGGGGGAUAACGUAGCGAAAGCUACGCUAAUACCGCAUACGAUCUACGGAUGAAAGCGGGGGAUCGCAAGACCUCGCGCGAUUGGAGCGGCCGAUAUCAAAUUAGGUAGUUGGUGAGGUAAAGGCUCACCAAGCCGACGAUCUGUAGCUGGUCUGAGAGGACGACCAGCCACACUGGGACUGAGACACGGCCCAGACUCCUACGGGAGGCAGCAGUGGGGAAUUUUGGACAAUGGGGGCGAACCCUCGAUCCAGCAAUGCCGCGUGCAGGAUGAAGGCUC